rnacentral:lncRNA from 1 species
GGAUAUGUGGGUAGAUGGUUUACAUGGGAACGAGGCAAUCUACCAGAGACAAAUAUACGAGAACGCUUGGCUAAAGGGGUAGCAAAUAUGGAGUGGAUUUCGUUGUUCUCUAAUAUAAAAGUUCAGCAUUUGGUACACUCUUUUUCCGAUCAUUGUCCUCUCCUUAUUGAUACAAAGAAGGAAAUCAGACAGAGGAAUGAAAAAAGUUUCAGAGUUGAAAACUGGUGGUUUUUGGAGGAUUCAUUUGUCGACACUGCCAAACAUUUAUGGAAGAUGUCAACAGGUAAUUUCCUACAGAAACUGGAUUUCAUAAAGAAGGGGUUGGAAGAUUGGGCAGGAAAAAUUUUAAAGAACAAAAAAGGGAAAAAGAAUUAUUUAACAGCAAAAUUAUCUGAAUUACUUGAAGCUGAAAGGGAUGAUAGUAACAUGGCUGUGUUGAUUGAUACAAAGAUCCAGCUUAACUUAGAGAUUGAGAAAGAUGAAAGAUAUUGGGAGCAAAGGGCCAGACUGAAUUGGCUCAAAUUAGGGGAUAAAAACACUGCCUUUUUUCAUAGCCAAGCAACUCAGAGGCGAAAGAAAAACAUGAUCAAGAGUUUGCAGUCCGGACAUGGUAGGGCCACGAAAAAUCUACAAGAAAUGGAAGAAAUUGCUAGGUCUUACUUUCAGAAUCUUUUUUCAUCACAGAAUCAAGGAAAUUGUGAUUUCCUACUCUCGGGUAUAAAUCGUUGUAUUAAUGACGAGGAUAAUAAAAGGCUCACUGCACAUUAUACAAGGGAAGAAAUUCGUGAGACUCUUUUUGAAAUGGGACCUACUAAGGUGCCAGGUGAAGAUGGACUCCCAGCCAUCUUUUAUCAGAAGUGCUAGCAUUUUAUGGGUGAGGAUACAGUUUCAUUUUGUCUUCUACUCUUAAACGGUGAUAUGGAGGUCAGUGUUAUUAAUUCAACUCAUAUUGUGCUCAUUCCAAAAAUUAAUAAUCCCACAAAUAUGUCACAGUUUAGGCCUAUCAGUUUAUGCAAUGUUGUUUACAAAGUUAUUGCGAAAACUAUAGCGAACAGAUUUAGAAGGGUGAUUGAUAAAUGCAUUGAUAAGGCUCAAAGUGCUUUUGUCCCAGGAAGAUUAAUCUCUGAUAAUGUCUUGCUUGCUUAUGAGAUACUGCAUUCCUUAAAGCAAAAAAAGAGUGGGGAAAAAGGGUUACAUGACAGUAAAACUGGAUAUGAGCAAGGCUUAUGAUAGGGUGGAAUGGGUUUUUAUCAAAAAGUUAAUGUCUCGAAUGGGAUUCGCUCAAAGUUGGAUUGAAAAUAUUAUGAAAUGCUUGACUACUGUCUCAUAUAAGGUUGUGAUCAAUGGCAAUGUUGGAAUAAAAUUCUAUCCAGAAAGAGGACUGUGACAAUGGGACCCUUUGAGCCCAUUUAUUUUCCUUAUAUGUGGAGAAGGCCUUUCCAGUCUCAUGAGAACAGCAGUAGAGGAAGGGUUUUUAAAGGGUGUCAAAGUCAGUAGACGAGGUCCACAGAUAUCGCUCUUAUUAUUUGCAGAUGAUUGUAUCCUUUUUGCGGAGGCAACAUGUAGAGGGGCUAAUUCAUUCAAUGCCAUAUUAAGCGAAUAUAGAAGGUGCUCGGGGCAAUGUGUGAACUUUGAGAAAUCAACCAUCUUUUUCAGCAAAAACACUAUUGAGGAGGAAAGAAGACAAAUCGUUAAUUUUCUUAGAGUCUGAAGCUCAAAUAAGCCUGAACGUUACCUUGGUUUGCCAAACAUGGUGGGACGACAAAAGAAGGUUUCUUUUCAAGCAUUGAAAGACAGAAUAAAACAACGAAUUGACAAUUGGAGUAUGAGAUUUUUAUCGCAAUGUGGAAAAGAAGUGUUUAUCAAAGCUGUUUUGCAAGCUAUUCCGACUUACUCAAUAGCUUGCUUCUUACUUCUGAAAUCAUUAUGUGAUGAAAUGGAAGUAAUUAUCGCGAGAUUUUGGUGGAAAAAAGGUCAGGGAAAAGGGGGAAUUCAUUGGAGCUCGUGGAAGAAUUUAUGCAGUUUAAAAGAGAAUGGAGGUUUAAGUUUUCGUAAUCUCAGUCAAUUCAAUAUUGCAUUGCUUGCCAAACAGGGGUGGCGUAUUUUUAAUUAUCUGAAUUCGCUUUUAGCCAGGGUUCUUAAAGCAAAGUAUUAUCCAAAUUUGAAUUUUCUAAGUGCAGAGUUGGGGAAUUUACCUUCCCUUACUUGGAAGAGUAUCUGGGCUGCAAAGGGACAUCUCACUCAAGGCCUGUGUUGGAGAGUUGGGAAAGGAAACAAAAUUUCUAUUUGGAAUUGACCAGUGGAUCCCGGGGAUCGAACCUAGUAUAUGGCAGAACAGUCAUCAAAAUGGAGAGCUGGAAAAUAUAUCAGAUCUAAUUGAUGGAAUACAUAAGACGUGGAAAGUGGAGGUUGUUACUCAUACCUUUCAACUGGCCAUUGCGCAAAGAAUAUUACAGAUCCCACUUGCAACUACAGAUAGUGAAGAUUUGCUCGUUUGGAAAGGUGAACCGUCUGGAGAAUUC